rnacentral:rRNA from 1 species
UGGGGAAUAUUGCACAAUGGAGGGAACUCUGAUGCAGCGACGCCGCGUGAGUGAUGAAGGAAUUCGUUUCGUAAAACUCUGUUCUGUGGGAAGAAAAGGACUGUACCAUAGGAGAAAGCUCCGGCUAAAUACGUGCCAGCAGCCGCGGUAAUACGUAUGGAGCGAGCGUUGUCCGGAAUUAUUGGGCGUAAAGGGUGCGCAGGCGGCUUUACAAGUUGGAUGUGAAAUAUUGUGGCUCAACCACAAACGUGCAUCCAAAACUGCAAAGCUUGAGUUAAGGAGAGGUAAGUGGAAUUCCUGGUGUAGCGGUGGAAUGCGUAGAUAUCAGGAGGAAUACCGGUGGCGAAGGCGACUUACUGGACUUAAACUGACGCUCAGGCACGAAAGCGUGGGGAGCAAACAGG